UGUUCCGGGGAGAUGCCAGAGCUCUGUCUGGGAAAAGAGGCAGCACAUGCCUGACAUUCGCUCCACUUUGAUAUCGUUAAAUUUAUUCUACCCAGGCAUAAAUUUGAAAAUCCUGUUUAAGCCAGAAGCAAUCGAGCAUGAGGAGUAUUUUCGCUAUGACUGUGUGUUCGCCCGGACUUGUUUCGUUUAUACAAGGGACUCUUAACUGGGAGAACAUUUGAUAUAUCUCAUUCUCCACCGUGGGGUUGUGUGGGCGAAUAACCCUGUAAAUGCAUUAACAAGUCAGCCACUGGUCGACAGCAUCAC
rnacentral:sRNA from 1 species